rnacentral:pre_miRNA from 1 species
UUUGACGUGAAUUGGUUAUGUUUAGAUACACUCGUUUAAAAGUGAUUCUUAUGAGUUGAUGUUGUUUGGAUAA